rnacentral:rRNA from 1 species
AACGAACGCUGGCGGCAGGCUUAACACAGGAAAGUCGAACGAACCGCAAGGGGAGUGGCAGACGGGUGAGUAACGCGUGGGAACAUACCCUUUUCUACGGAAUAGAUCUGGGAAACUGGAAUUAAUACCGUAUACGCCCUACGGGGGAAAGAUUUAUCGGGGAAGGAUUGGCCCGCGUUGGAUUAGCUAGUUGGUGGGGUAAAGGCCUACCAAGGCGACGAUCCAUAGCUGGUCUGAGAGGAUGAUCAGCCACAUUGGGACUGAGACACGGCCCAAACUCCUACGGGAGGCAGCAGUGGGGAAUAUUGGACAAUGGGCGCAAGCCUGAUCCAGCCAUGCCGCGUGAAUGAUGAAGGCCUUAGGGUUGUAAAGCUCUUUCACCGAUGAAGAUAAUGACGGUAGUCGGAGAAGAAGCCCCGGCUAACUUCGUC